rnacentral:tRNA from 15 species
GCCCGGAUAGCUCAGUCGGUAGAGCAGAGGAUUGAAAAUCCUCGUGUCGGCGGUUCGAUUCCGUCUCCGGGCACCA